UACUUCGCUGCCUUUGCAGAAGUUCUACCUAGUGUUCAACCAGGGAGCCGCCUCUGGACAUGGGUGCGCAGGCCCGUUCGGCGGGAAGCCCGAAGUGUCUACCGUAGCGCCCACCUAUUAACAUAGAGGUUGAACUUUCUCGAGUGGGUAUGCGAAGUGGCGGGAAGUCC
rnacentral:other from 1 species